GUAGGGAAUAUUGGGCAAUGGAUGCAAGUCUGACCCAGCCAUGCCGCGUGGAGGAAGAAGGUCCUCUGGAUUGUAAACUCCUUUUUUGGGGGAAGAAUAGUUUUCUUGCGAGAGAAUGUGACGGUACCCUAAGAAUAAGCCACGGCUAACUACGUGCCAGCAGCCGCGGUAAUACGUAGGUGGCAAGCGUUGUCCGGAUUUAGUGGGUUUAAAGGGUGCGUAGGUGGUUUGAUAAGUCAGUGGUGAAAGCUGGUUGCUCAACAAUCAAGUUGCCAUUGAUACUGUCGGACUUGAGAGAAGUGGAGGUUCAUGGAAUGGAUGGUGUAGCGGUGAAAUGCAUAGAUAUCAUCCAGAACGUCGAUUGCGAAGGCAGUGGGCUGUACUUUGUCUGACACUGAGGCACGAAAGUGUGGGGAUCAAACAGGAUUAGAUACCCCUGUAGUCC
rnacentral:rRNA from 1 species